UUUUUUUUUUUCUCAAGAUAGUAAUAAUAUGAAAGCUCACUUGCCAGCACAUACAAAGUCAAACAUGAUAAACCAAAAGGGCAGGCGAACAACACCGUUUCAAACUGUCAAAUCCAACAACAACUCGAUAAUUCUAGAAGAAAAACGCUAUUAAUAUACAUGUAUUAUAUAUAUCAAAGAGAACUUCCAUUUUAAAAACAUUAAUGGAAGUCAAUCUCUCCCUCCUGCUAAUAUGAUACAAGUAGA
rnacentral:misc_RNA from 1 species